rnacentral:rRNA from 1 species
CCUACGGGAGGCAGCAGUGGGGAAUAUUGGGCAAUGGGCGCAAGCCUGACCCAGCAACGCCGCGUGAAGGAAGAAGGCGUUCGGGUUGUAAACUUCGUUUAAGAGGGAAGAGCAGAAGACGGUACCUCUUGAAUAAGCCACGGCUAACUACGUGCCAGCAGCCGCGGUAAUACGUAGGUGGCAAGCGUUGUCCGGAUUUACGGGGUGUAAAGGGCGUGCAGCCGGGAAGACAAGUCAGAGGUGAAAUCCCGCGGCGCAACCGCGGAACUGCAUUGUAAACUGUUUUUCUUGAGUACCGGAGUGGUCCUCGGCAUUCCUUUUGUAGCGGUGACCUGCGUCGAUAUCAGG